rnacentral:rRNA from 1 species
AUUGAACGCUGGCGGCAUGCCUUACACAUGCAAGUCGAACGGCAGCACGGGGGCAACCCUGGUGGCGAGUGGCGAACGGGUGAGUAAUACAUCGGAACAUAUCCAGUAGCGGGGGAUAACCUGUCGAAAGAUAGGCUAAUACCGCAUACGAUCUACGGAUGAAAGCGGGGGACCGCAAGGCCUCGCACUAUUGGAGUGGCCGAUGUCGGAUUAGCUAGUUGGUGGGGUAAAAGCUUACCAAGGCGACGAUCCGUAGCUGGUCUGAGAGGACGAUCAGCCACACUGGAACUGAGACACGGUCCAGACUCCUACGGGAGGCUG